CACCACCAUCUUGCGCAUUCAGAAACCCCUCGACAAUAUAAACAAUCCUACAAUUAUAUAUUGAAGUACAUUUCAGCGCGACAAUCAGUAAGAUAAAAUCCUACAUGUCCAUUCCCAUGCAACUUCAAAACUAAAUUAAACUACAAUAAUAUUUCAGCUAGAGAAAAACUCACAAGAUCUCUCCGCAAAACGACAAAUUGACGUUAAUUAAUAUUUAGAGAGAGAUUUUCCAUAACUACAGUUAAUUUUCAGAAAGAUAAUUUAUUCUCAAACUUUUGGCUUCGUCCGGCUUUAAUUAUGGAAGUAAAUAGUCCAAAGAAGCCUUAUCAAGUGAACAUGAAGAGAAAAUUAAAAAGUUAUUACACGGAGCUUUCAAUAUGCGGAAAAAGUUUAUUAGAGCCUAAGACAGGAUUACAAAAUCCUCAGACACGUAAAGAUCGUCAGGAGCACAUUUUGAAUUGGAGAAACGAAGUAGCUGAUAGACUAUCCAAAAAAACUGGACGAAUUCUCUCGAGAAAAAAAAGAUUGGCUUCUUUCCAAAAGAGUCCUGCGGUAAUAGAGUUGCUAAAGGAUCUGGAUGCGAGGACGAAAGCUAAAUUGGCAGAAGCCGCAGAAGCUGAGUUAAUUGGCCCCACUGGAAGUUAAUAUUUUGGAGUUUGAGAAAAAUUCAAAUGUUUCAUAAAAAUAUUAUUGAUAAUGAUUUAAUGUAUUGCAUUGGCAUCUGAUGUUCUUCAAGUUUUUCCCAAUUAUCUACAAAGAAUAUGAUACA